rnacentral:rRNA from 1 species
AUGCACCGCCUCUCCUCUCUUUCGCGACCACUUCACUCCUUCAUGCCCUCUCCUCCGCCUCGCUGGUGGCCACCAGCGCUUGCGCGACGAGUUUUCCCACCCAGAGAGCCUCCCAAUCCAACUGCCCGUCGUGUUCCCAGAUUUCCUCUUGGAUUUCGGAACAUGGCCAGCACCACUGAAGUGGAAGGGGAUGAUUCUGGUAAACCAGACAUGCGACUGCUUAUCAAUUCUUCCGUCACGCAAAACAUGAACAACAUGGAGACAAGGAGCACAACAGGGGAACCCAUGGCAUGUUAUGCCGAGGUUAUAGAUGACAAACGUGAUACAUGGGGGAAAACUGUUGGUUAUGAGGAAGAAACCGUGGACAAUGAGGACGAAGAAUAUGGGAACUGCGAUACACUGAUGGUUCGAUACCCCUUAGACCGUGUGCGCCCUCUGGCUGUGAUUCCGAAGAGCAGGCAUCGUGAUGGUUCUAUAUACAAGUGCACACACUCAUGGAAAAAAGAAUGUCUUAUUGCAGACCGCAGUGAGACUAUUUUCGAGCCAAUGAUGUUUACAGAGCCCUCAAAUUGCUUCAUCUUCAAUGGCACUUGCAUGCGGCAUGGACCUACUCACAUGUUGCAAAUUGUAUCAAUAAAGCUGGCUAAAAUUCAUGUGGAUGGUGGGCCAAUAGCGUUGUAUGGAUACAUUGCACUGCGGGAUAAUCUGGAUCCAUUGCUUAAUUAUGUCGUCAAAUUUAGCAGGGAUGAUCCCAUUACUUUGGAGCAGGGUUCUCUCAUCAACUUGGCUGGCCCUAAGCGAGGGAUUAAUUAUCUGGGUGAUAUUUUUAUCGAAUACGAUAUGAGGAUCAAGACUGUUGGACCAGAAAAGCAUGAUCCACAACUGAUCGAUGGCGUAUCAAUACUAGGCAACAUGGGCGUACGGAAUCGUAGUGUGUUCACGAAUCGCAUCCAUGGCAAUUGUGGUGCAGUUGACAUAACCUUUUCAAGUCUUGAAAAUGCAAUUGAGGCGACUGUAGAAGUUGCCAUAUCAGAAGUGCAAAGCAGUUUCAAUCUGUCUCUUGGCUGUUUUACCAGUGGGUUGAAUGAAGAAAUUCGGCUCUUUGAUGGCGUCAUUGGUGAGACGCGGAGCUUAAAAAGGUCUGUGGUUGCUGUGGUGAUAGAUUCUUGGAUACACUUGAAGUUCAAGGUUGGUACAGAGCGAUCCAGUUCCACUGAACGUGAUUGUUUCUUCAAUGCUGGCAACCACGGGUCUAGUGCUCGAAAGAUUAAGACUGAUUUUGCGUUAAUCUCAGUGAAGGUGAUCUGGUCGCCUUUGCCUGAUGGGUUCUAG